CACCAGACUCCUACGGGAGGCAGCAGUGAGGAAUAUUGGUCAAUGGGCGCGAGCCUGAACCAGCCAAGUAGCGUGAGGGAAGACUGCCCUAUGGGUUGUAAACCUCUUUUAUGCGGGGAUAAAGGUGUCCACGUGUGGAUGUUUGCAGGUACCGCAUGAAUAAGGACCGGCUAAUUCCGUGCCAGCAGCCGCGGUAAUACGGAAGGUCCGGGCGUUAUCCGGAUUUAUUGGGUUUAAAGGGUGCGCAGGCGGAAUGUAAAGUCAGCGGUAAAUUUUCGGGGCUCAACCCCGUCGAGCCGUUGAAACUGCCGUUCUUGAGUGAGCGAGAAGUAUGCGGAAUGCGUGGUGUAGCGGUGAAAUGCAUAGAUAUCACGCAGAACUCCGAUUGCGAAGGCAGCAUACCGGCGCUCAACUGACGCUGAAGCACGAAGGCGUGGGUAUCGAACAGGAUUAGAUACCCUGGUAU
rnacentral:rRNA from 1 species